rnacentral:rRNA from 1 species
GAUGAACGCUAGCUACAGGCUUAACACAUGCAAGUCGAGGGGCAGCAUGAACUUAGCUUGCUAAGUUUGAUGGCGACCGGCGCACGGGUGAGUAACACGUAUCCAACCUGCCGAUGACUCGGGGAUAGCCUUUCGAAAGAAAGAUUAAUACCCGAUGGCAUAGUUCUUCCGCAUGGUAGAACUAUUAAAGAAUUUCGGUCAUCGAUGGGGAUGCGUUCCAUUAGGUUGUUGGCGGGGUAACGGCCCACCAAGCCUUCGAUGGAUAGGGGUUCUGAGAGGAAGGUCCCCCACAUUGGAACUGAGACACGGUCCAAACUCCUACGGGAGGCAGCAGUGAGGAAUAUUGGUCAAUGGACGAGAGUCUGAACCAGCCAAGUAGCGUGCAGGAUGACGGCCCUAAUGGGUUGUAAACUGCUUUUAUAAGGGAAUAAAGUGGGAGUCGUGACUCUUUUUGCAUGUACCUUAUGAAUAAGGACCGGCUAAAUUCCGUG